rnacentral:tRNA from 1 species
AGGCUGUCGGGACGCAGUUUCUUGGCCGGCGUCGUUGCGGGCGCCGCUGCCGCCUGCGUCGCUGCCGGUGCGGCACCGGUCGCGGCCUG